rnacentral:rRNA from 1 species
UGAGGAAUAUUGGUCAAUGGGCGGAAGCCUGAACCAGCCAAGUCGCGUGAGGGAAUAAGGCCCUACGGGUCGUAAACCUCUUUUGCCGGGGAGCAAGGGCGGGGACGUGUCCCGGCCCGGAGAGUACCCGGNGAAAAAGCAUCGGCUAACUCCGUGCC